UCCGGUAUGGUGUAACGGCUAACAUUGCCGCCUUUCAUUCCAAGGUUGGAGAGGAUGUCGCGGCAGCUCGGGGUUCGAUUCCCCGUACCGGAA